GCAUGAAAAAAAAUAUUCUGCAGCUGACAUGAAUAAAAAAUAUUUGUAAACAUUCUUUACAUUGCAAAAAGUUGGUAAUAACAAGAAAAAAUGAAUAUAAAACAAUUUUCACAUCAAAGAUAUUUGUGAGUCAAUGAGAAACUUUUUGGAGAUAAGGCCUCUUAUAUAUAAGAUAAUAUUAAGACUGACAUGCUUUGUGAUAUAUUUGAUAUACUACAUGUUUGACUGCACAUGUAUAUGAUUGUGUGAUUCAAGUUCAAUAGGACAUUAUGUUUUACAAUUUAUCUUCUUUUUCAGGACAUACAUAUACAUGGAAAUAAAUCAGGAAUGGGUUUGUCAUUUUCUUUGUCGUUUUGUGCAUUCAUUAUCUGAAAUAAAUAGACAAAAUGUAGAUUGAAAAAAUAUGGAAGAAACAGAAUAUACACCAAAUAAUGACACCCAAUGGUGCAGCCAAUGGUUACCGACAUCACAUAUGGUAACACCAUCUGAUUACACCACACAUGGUAACACCAUCUGAUUACACCACAAAUGGUAACACCAUUUGAUUACACCAAAUAUGGUAACACCAUUUGAUUACACCACACAUGGUAACACCAUUUGAUUACACCACACAUGGUAACACCAUUUGAUUACACCACACAUGGUAACACCAUUUGAUUACACCACACAUGGUAACACCAUCUGAUUACACCACAAAUUGUAACACCAUUUGAUUACACCACACAUGGUAACACCAUUUGAUUACACCACACAUGGUAACACCAUUUGAUUACACCACACAUGGUAACAUCAUUUGAUUACACCACACAUGGUAACACCAUUUGAUUACACCACACAUGGUAACACCAUUUGAUUACACCACAAUUGGUAACACCGUUUGAUUACACCACAAAUGGUAACACCAUUUGAUUACACCACACAUGACAAAUGGAAGCAAGUGAUAUCAAAUUUGUUUGAUAACUUCAUACUUUUUUCCUGAAGAUAAAAUUCAUGUUGCUAGCUCAGGCAAGGCCCCAUUCCACAAUAAACUCAUUACAUAUAAUGAUCCUCAAUAGAACAAUUCAUGAAAUAAAAGAAAACUUUACAAAAAAAACAAAAAAGAGCUUGAAUGGAACACUAAAGUGUUAUAAUAUAAACACAAAGGGUGUAUUAUAACACUCUAAUGUUGUGGUUUGAUUAUAGGUAGCUAAUUAUGACACCAGUCUCUAACAGGAGGGGGUUCACUUUGUCAGUGAAUUUGCUUAAUUCAUUCAAACUGUGAGGUUUAUAAAAUACCAUCUUUUGCCAUUAGAGAAAACAUUAAAAAAAUAGGAUAACACAAUGUUGAUAUUAUUGGCUUCCCAUAAUUUUAUCACUCAGGCUCGAGUUAAACUUGAGCUCAUAACAGGAGCAUACGAAACACUGGUAUUUAUUGAGUUCCUCUGGUAUUGCAGUUUUAACACCAAAGAUUUUGCAGUACACAUUUCCUAUUAAGGUUAUAAACUAUGUUUGUUUGUUUUUUCUUUCAAUUUGGUAACAUUUGGCAACAGUUUCUGGUCAUUCAAAGCUGUUGAAAGAACACAGUUGGAAUGAAUGAAGGUAAUAGAACAGGUAAAUCAUUAACUGGAAAUACAAAGAACAAAACAAGCAAAUGUUGGAUCUAUUGAUCUCAUUGUACAUAAUUAUUUGAAGGUUUACAGAAAAUGAAAUUAAUGUCACACUUGGUUCAAUGUGGGGAUAAUAAAGAGGACUGAACAAACAAACUAGUCAGACGAUCCCAUCUAUCUAUUGAUUCAAUCUGAGAAGAUAUUGUGUAGGUUUCUUUGCUCUUGAAUGUAGACAAAUGCCAAUAGAUGUAUUAAAACAUUGGUCAAUGGCAUUUGAUACCAUCACACACACAUCGGUUAUGUGAUCGUAUAAUGAUGUACCAUUCAUUCCCAUUAUAUAAAGAGCUAAACCAUGUAGUAGACAGAUGUUUCCAGCAACAAAAUAUACUUAAAUUAUUACCUGUAUCAGACAUCUGAGGCGGUCAUUUACAAAACGGUACUGCCCAAGAUUUCAUGAACAUCGGGAAAGGUUAGGUACAUUAUUUGUAUUUUGCUCGGUCUCUAUGCGCAUAUUGACUUUUCAUACAGAGACGACGCAAAGUGUAAUAAUAUGUUUUAAUAAGAAAUAAUAUAGAUACUGCGCCCGAAGCCUGCCAGGGACAGGACAUUACACCACAAUGCCCUGCUCAAUCACACUUAUCUCAAUUUUGAUGUCUGAUAUAGGUAUAAUAAAGAUAUUGACUUGCUACUUUUUUGGGACAUCAAAUAUAUUGCAGUUAAAAGAACCAUAUUUCCUUUUUAUAAAGACUCUGGUCAAUACCAUUCUUGUGCAGACAAUAUAUUGCAAGUUACCCUAAAGGGUCCAGUCAAUAUGAUAUAAAGAUAUACACAAAGAAUGGUAAUUAUCAUGAUACAGUACUCUACAUAAAGUCAAAUAAUCACCUUACUCAAAGUAUUAUUUCAGACCAGGAUAUGUCUUAUAUAUCUUCUAAGUCAAAUUCUGCCCAAAUCAGAUUUUAUUUGGUCACUAGAGAUUUGACUUAGAGGGAAAGUUACUUGUAUUUCAGAAGGGAGUUGAGAAGAGGAAAGAGCAAUACUAAAUUUGAAUGUCCAAUAAUUACCCACAGAUACAGAUGUGUAUAUCACCGAAGGGGUUUCAAUCACACCGCUAUUAAAUACAUUGCAAUGAAACAAAACAUGUACAUGCAAAAAUGGCCAAUGCAUUGAUUGUUCGAUAUUGCUUUAAUAUAUCAUUGUCAACGUAUCAAAUUACUUCUUUACUGGUUCUUAAAUUCAAAAUUUUGGCAAAUUUAUUUGUCCAAUUCAUUGAGUCCAACUAAGUAUG
rnacentral:lncRNA from 1 species